CACGCUCUCACAUCCCUAGCAUACUCAAAGCUAGAGCUUGUGAGAAUAACUUGCCCACUGAUUUUAUUGUAAAUGUUGCCCAUAGAUAAUGAGCAGGCACAGUUGGGAUUUUAUUCUAUCUGAGUGCUUAGAGAAUUAAAUCUUGUACCAGCAGUGCCAUUUACCCAGACUCCCCCUGGGUUACAUGUCUAAGUCUCUGAGAUACUCCCAUUAUACAGAUGACAAAAUUAAUGCCUAGAUGGUUUUGGAUUUCUUAGGGUAAUUGUAAGCAGUAAUUGGGCACAAAUCCGGGCUCUCUGCCUAUGAAGCUCACACUACCAACAGCUCUGCAAGGCUGCAUUGAAGGAUGGCCAAGCCCUUGGGAAAGUGGGUAGAAACUUAACCAAAAGAUUAGGAGGAAACUCACUCUGAACUAAGAGAACAGAAUGGAUAGAGGCUCUGGGCUUCCAGGCAGGGAGAAAACAGAAGGAAGCCAAUGAGGCUCGAGACUGGUGACACUCACAGAAGCCUGCGUGGAACAGCGGAAAGGAAAGUACAUUAUUCAGAAUAGUGCACAACGGGGAAAGAUCUUAGCAGACUGUGAGUCAGCGUUCUGCCCUGCCACAGGGCACAGCCUUUGGGAAGGCCUUUCGGACCAAAUUAAGAAUGGGGUUUCUUGUGAUUGAAGCCAUGGCCACAGAAAGGAUGGACACAUGUGCACAUCAUGGUAUGGACACACGUGCACAUCAUGGCAUGUGCACCAUUGACUUAUUAGGAAGUAAGACAACACGGGCCUAAGAGAGGAGGCUGGAGAGCUCCAUCAGCCAAGGCCGGAAUAAGAAGAGCCAGCAGGCUUUGCUCGGGCAUCUCUCGCAACCGUUGCAUGUCUCCAUACCAACUGCUAAGAGAAAAGGCAGAGCCACAGAGGCUGUGGCAUGGCCACGACUUCUGGCUGCAUGGGGCUGCACAGCGAUGCUGCAUUGCCUCUGACAGUUUCCAGAAUUCUGCCUCAGAAGGUCAGCCACAUUCACCUGCGGAGAUAUUUUGGGCAGUCGUGACUCCCUUCUCUUGUUAUUCUCAUCAAUUCUCUUAGUGCAGUCACUAAGGCUUUUGAGAGAAAGCUUCAGAGCUAGUCUCCUGUACAACGCAAUGUUCAACACUUCUCCUAUUCUUGUUCAAACCAGUAAAAAUAUCAGAAAAAAUGGAGAAAGGACGAUGCUGACAAGCUGGGUCCUUUUUAUAUACAUCCCGGAGAGAGAGAUGCUUAAAUUCAGUGGCCCAGUCUUACUGGUGUUACCUGUAUUCCACAAACACAUGAAGCACAACCACGUUCCCGUGCUUCAAUGAGCACUUAAUGUUAAGGGCUGCUUUAGCUCGCCACACAAAACUCUGCCUCCUUCAUCCAGUUAUCAAAAACCAUUGAUAAUUGUUUCUGGGAAGGUUACAGGUGGUGAGACAUGGGUGGAAGUUUCAGGACAGGCCUAGUAACCUGAAGGUGAGCAUUUGGGAAAGAUGGAAGUGUGAGCUAUGAGCAGCUAGCACUUGCAGCUGCUGGGAGAACGGUGUGUUGGUCUGAUCAGGGGACAGAGGUUGGCUGGAACCACAACCCUGGCCUUUCUAACAAUGCGUUUGCCUAGGUGCUGGUGUCUACUUGGUGAUCCUGUCUCUGUCUCUGUUUUGGUGAGGGUCAUUUGCUCUGAGGUGUCUUCGUGGCAAUGUUCUAAAUAGUUAAUGACCAUGCCUUUGGAAAAAUCAAAAGCAAUUUCACAUUGCAACCCUGCAGGUCUCAGAAUCUCCGAGAUCUCUGUAUCUGCCUGACUGCUUUCAACCCUUCCUCCCUGAGACUGACCUCUGUCUUAAACUAUCUUGUCAAAUGCAGAUGCUAACACCAGUGCCCACAUCCAGGUUGACUAUCCCAGGGCUGACGUUCAUUUCAAAGAUUCCCAGAUUCCACGGGCCAUAGUUUUAUAAAAACCUUGGCCCAUAAAUAAAAUGAUUUUCCGUUCUCUGGCCAUCCUGUAAGUUUCUUCACUGUCACUUGUCCACCAAGAAACCAUGAAAAGAUUAUAGAUGGAUUAAUUCCUGGAAAUGGGAGCGAGGAUUCCAGAUCAAUAACAUAAUUAACACACUUCAUGGCCCAAGCUGGACCAGUAAGAAUCCUUUUCAUGAGAGUGAGGGACAAACACAACCUCCCUGACUCUCAUUCAAGCAGCAGUGGGACAGAUAACACAUUUUUACUUUGAGUGAUUAGUUACGCAUUCAUUUAAUCUUUUUCUCUGCAUCCAAAUGAGCACAUUGAUUUGGGAUUGAUGAUCUAUGCGUGUAUAUGGCUAAGAGAGAGAAGAAUUUGCUUUAUAGAUUGAGGUUAGCUCUGUAAAUAGCGCUGGCUGACUAUGCGCAGACACUAAGACAGAAAGAGCAACCUGCACCUUUAUGAUCUUGUGCGUGUUUUUUAAAGAGCAGUUUUGUAUAUACACAGUGGGGAAAGUCCUUACCUGGGAGGGGCAAAAUUGUUAAAUUCUACAUGCUAGACUCACCAUUCAACUGUCUUUUACUCAUUUCCAACUUUCUCUAGUAGAGAAGUCGAAUAUGAAUUAAAGAUACAAGUGCCACCCCCACCCCCUGCCCCACUAGAGAGAUGGCUCAGUGGUUAACUCUCUGAGGACCCAGGUUCAGUUCACAGUACCCACAUCAGGAAACUCACAUCUGCCUGUAAUUCCAGCUCCAAGAGAUCUGACACUUUCCUUGGCUUCUGUUCACACACACACACAC
rnacentral:lncRNA from 1 species